rnacentral:rRNA from 1 species
GACGAACGCUGGCGGCGUGCUUAACACAUGCAAGUCGAACGGAAAGGCCCUGCUUUUGUGGGGUGCUCGAGUGGCGAACGGGUGAGUAACACGUGAGUAACCUGCCCUUGACUUUGGGAUAACUUCAGGAAACUGGGGCUAAUACCGGAUAGGAGCUCCUGCUGCAUGGUGGGGGUUGGAAAGUUUCGGCGGUUGGGGAGGGACUCGCGGCUUUUCAGCUUGUUGGUGGGGUAGUGGCUUACCAGGGCUUGGACGGGUAGCCGGCCUGAGAGGGUGACCGGCCACAUUGGGACUGAGAUACGGCCCAGACUCCUACGGGAGGCAGCAGUGGGGAAUAUUGCACAAUGGGCGGAAGCCGGAUGCAGCAACGCCGCGUGCGGGAUGACGGCCUUCGGGCUGUAAACCGCUUUCGCCUGUGACGAAGCGUGAGUGACGGUAAUGGGUAAAGAAGCACCGGCUAACUACGU